UACGUAGGGUGCGAGCGUUAAUCGGAAUUACUGGGCGUAAAGCGUGCGCAGGCGGUUGUGUAAGACAGGUGUGAAAUCCCCGGGCUUAACCUGGGAACUGCAUUUGUGACUGCAUCGCUGGAGUGCGGCAGAGGGGGAUGGAAUUCCGCGUGUAGCAGUGAAAUGCGUAGAUAUGCGGAGGAACACCGAUGGCGAAGGCAAUCCCCUGGGCCUGGACUGACGCUCAUGCACGAAAGCGUGGGGAGCAAACAGG
rnacentral:rRNA from 1 species